UGUAGCCAGAGGAACUGGGGGCCAGGGAUCCCCUGAAGGCCUCCUCAGGGAGCUCUCUUGAGCAUGUGUGUGUGUGCCCUUGUUUUCACAGGAGGACCCGAGCUGCAGACCACCCGCCUAUCUCACGCAGGGUCCCGCUCCCGGAGGGAGGUGGGCAAAGCGGGGUGUGAGCGC
rnacentral:lncRNA from 1 species